CCUGGCGACCUAGCAAGGUUUUUCCAGCUUCCUUCUCAAAUUUCAAUCUAGAAAUUCGCUUUGUGAAUGAUCUCCUAACACAAAACCUAAUAGAACGCUAAAUACCAACGCCCAUUCGUCCAUCCCAAAUGGAGGAUACAGACGUUGGUCUCAGCUUCGAUUUCGAGGGAGGCCUCGACGUCGGUCCCACCAAUCCUACUGCCUCCACCCCCGCCAUCCCUUCCGGUAAUCCCGCCGCAGCUGCUGCCGCC
rnacentral:misc_RNA from 1 species